UAUUUAAUACUUAAACACCCUGAACGGACCAUCCGCCUCCUUCUGAAACCUUCGCGCGGUUCUUCUGGGUGUCGGCCUCCGCGCGGUUCUUCUGGGUGUCGGCCUCCGCGCAGCUAGAGAGAGAGAGGGAGGAGAGGGAGAGGUUGCAAUCGACAAUGGUGGCGCCAAAGAAGACGAAGAAGACCCAUGAGAGCAUCAACACCAGGCUCGCUCUCGUCAUGAAGAGCGGCAAAUACACUCUUGGUUACAAAACCGUCAUCGAUUCCCUCCGCAGCUCCAAAGGCA
rnacentral:lncRNA from 1 species